rnacentral:rRNA from 1 species
GACGUAGGGGGGCCAGCGUUGUUCGGAAUUACUGGGUGUAAAGGGUUCGUAGGCGGUGUGGCAAGUCGGGAGUGAAAUCUCUGGGCUCAACCCAGAGUCUGCUUCCGAAACUGCUGUGCUUGAGGACUGGAGAGGAUCGCGGAAUUCCCGGUGUAGAGGUGAAAUUCGUAGAUAUCGGGAGGAACACCGGUGGCGAAGGCGGCGAUCUGGGUCGAUACUGACGCUGAGGUGCGAAAGCGUGGGGAGCAAACAGG